UCUGCCCGGCGGAGGCGCUGACGGGGUUUUAAUUGGUCUCGCUCGGCGUGUUUUAAUCGCCCCAACGCCACUCCAACGAUUUCACAACCGUAACCGUAACCUGUUUUAAUAUAAAUAAAUUGCGGUUUGUUGUGCAGCCGGAGCCUUCUGGUCCCAACGAGCAUCCGGUCUCGUCCCCCCUCACCUCUGGACUCUGGAGUGAAAACCAAAGACCCGCCUCCCACGACAGGAAGCCGUCGGGUAAAAAAUGUCCUGCUUAUUUACAACACGGAAGCUCGGUGACCACCAGGCAGAAACCGGGACACGUUUCUGUGAUCAAAUCUUCCCGGCGGGUGACAAUGAGUGGAAGCCCUCCAGCGAGCCGACCCGGCACGCUCGCCCCGUUUGCCAAAGAGCCAUUGUCUUAUUGUUGCUUUACACAAUGUGACUUGUUAAACCUGCAAAUGAACUCGCAUUGUAACAACGGCAUCUGGUCCCGGUUCACUUUCUUCGGGAUCGCCUCCGUAAUGGGGACGAAUGAGCCCGUCGCCGAGGAGCUUGAGGUGUGUCUGCAGAGGAGGUUCAAUCGGAUCUUUUUACAUUCCGGUUGUCGCGUCACACUUUGCAAUCGACGCGUCUCCCGUCACGUUUUGCACUGGGCAGAAAGCGCCGCUCGCAUCUGGAAAAGGACGGACGGACGGGAGGAUCAACCCGCCGCCGCCCAUUUGAGAAGAAGCGAGAUGAUCUCGGCUGCAGCGCAGUCGCCACGUCGGUGUUCACGCCACCUCUCCAGGUCAGACAGCGCAGAGCGGAUCCCGUCACGUCUCACGCAGCUGUCUGCGUAAACUCCGCCGCCGCCGAGCCCCUUCAGCGGACACAGAAGCAGAUGAGGACCGAAGUGGAGGACAGCCGGAGGACGGCCGGUCCUCCUUCCUGCGCCCAGAACCAUCGAGCGAGCUCCUCCGAGGUGUAGUUAGCUCAUCCAGCCGUGUGCAUGAUGGAUGAUCCCAGGGACGCGCCGGUUCUGACCCAGCUUGGAAUCAGCAGCAGUGUCUCCCCCGCGUUCAAAUCAGAUCUUUAAAUAAACCACAGCCACGUAAACGCAGCGAGCGUCAUUCACAUAAAAAAACAGUCGUCCUUUGCUAAAAAGACAAGCGGCUUCAGACCGUUUUCACUCCUUCUGAACACAGAGACGUUGGACAAUUCUUAUACUAAGACUACGACGAUAACGCCUCGAGGGAGGACGUCAGGUUGCGUGCUGUAAAGACAUUUGGGUCAAACAAGGACACGCGUGUUUGUGGCGUGUGGAAGCUUCAUCUCGCCACCUUGAAGGUGUUUGAUGCAGGAACCCUGGGGAGUUAGAAGGUACGAGCGCAGCACAGUGUUUGGUGAUGUCGUUGCGGCGCAUCCCGCAAAACCCGCGGCAUUGUUGUUGACAGUCGGCGACGAGGAAGUCCGGGGCACUGAGGCUCUGCUGCAGCUCCUCGCUCGCACUCGGUCCGUUGUUCUUCCUCUAAGUGAAUUAAAGCACGAUAUCCACCGCAUUCAGGGCGCCGCCGCUGCUGUUUCCAAGGUAACCACCAACUGGCAUCCCGGUGAACCUCAUCAUCACAAAGCAACAUAAACAUCCUUACAUGGUUUUUUUAUUUCCAAUUAAUGUUACCCGCCGCCGUUAAUCACACCGUUACCCCCCCCCCCGGGACCUCUGGGGGUCUGAGGAGUGGAUUCACCAUCACCAUUGCUUUAACGGGACACUUUUUAUAAUCAACUCCUGCAGCUCGCUAAUCAUUUUAAUGCUCUGUUUUGCUGCUUUAUUGUCUCGACAAUCAUUCCGAAGAUGCGUUCUUUUAUCUGUGGACCGAUCACGCGCCGGAGGAGCGUCCCUCCCCCCGAAGGCAGGAACACAAAGCGCACAAGAAUCUGAAGGUCUGAGCGCUGAGCUGCUACCCGACGCCACGUAGCGCUGCACAUCUCGCUCCUUCGCCCCUUCACUGUCUCACUCUUUACCCGGCGUCGCUCGGCGUGGCCGCGCUGACGCAGACGGAUUUGCGUGGCAGACAGUUGGAGGCCCGAGGACGGGAGGAGAUUGCUUCACGAGGCGUCCGGGCCGCGCUGGAUGUCUGGAGGGUGAUUUGCCAAAAAUCUGUCAAAGAAAAAGUUCUGCAGUGGUGAUUGAGCAAGUCUCGCCGUGAGCGUUGGCGUAAUUUACUGAGAAGACUAUUAUUUCAGUUCUAUGUACCUUUGCCUCAAAUAGCAAUGUUUUUUUCUGGAAAUGUCAUUCAGGAUUAAUUGGCGUUAAUGGAUUAAUAUUUGAUUUAAAAGUAGUAACCAUGCAAACAGUAUCGACAAAUAAGCUUCUUUCUGCAGCUUUAUUCCCUUUACACAGUAGCAGCUAAAACAUUUAUUCUGAACCUCAACUUAAAGAAAUCUUCUUUAAUCUAAACUACAUAACAUGUUUUAAUAUAAAACUAAAGCCAUUUGCAACUGCCAGAGGCUUAAUGUUGAAUCCGGUUUGUUAUAAAAAAACAAGUUGCAUCAUAACAGGCAGCUACCGUGUAGCAGCAAGUCCGCAUCUAUAAAUCAGUUCUUUUGUUUCCUGACAGAAGGAACACUUCUCAGCAUAAACGCUCCGCUCGGUAGCCGCGGUAUUUGUUCUAAAUGUUUGUUGGUGCAUUGAUGUUUUAUUGGUGUUUAUAAGAAGCGGUGCUCCGUAGUUAAACACCCGCUGUGUGCCAGGUACCACUGACUGUGUGCUAGUUAGCUUAGCAACAACUGCCAAGCCGUUUAUUGUCCGUUUGUCAUCAGACGUCGGGUAAUAAAGUGGCGCUGGCCUGGCGGCUAACUUAGGUGGCUCGUGAUUGGCCCGGGAGGGUGUGUGGGCGGGGCCUCGGUGCUGUGGCUCCCGGCGCACACGAUCACAAACUGUCAGACUCUCCACAUCUGCAGAAGUUCAGGAGGCUGCCAACGCAGUGACGUAAGCGUCACUUACCUUUUAUUUUAAUUAAUAUACUUAUUCUCCAUCAGAAACUCCCACGUUCCGUUAAAAAGAAGAUUGUCCAGGUAGACUCAUUGUUUACAUGUACGUGUGUGAGAUAAACUUCACUUCACAUCACCUCCCGCCACUGUACGUUUGAUUGACAUGUGAAUAGAGCUCAAAAACACCACGGAGAUUAUCUCCUAGCAACACGGAUGCAAACAAAACAAAACAGGAAUAACACUGUGUAGCUGUGGUGUCAUCAAUACGACUACAUGCGCGUGUAUUCGCACAUCACACAAUGCGCCAGGAGCCACGAUGAAAGCGCUUUAUUUUCGCUGGAAUUUGGAAACAUAUUAUUCAUUUUCACUGCAGCAUCUUUGGACGAAAAGCUUCAGACUGUUCUGAUCUCGGCUGGAAUCUCUAAAGUGAAACUGGUAGUCCGGUGCGGCACGCACUUUCCCACAAGUUCCCCAUAAAGUGGAGAAUGUGCCUAAUCCCGUGCAGAGUUAUGACAUAUGGUCGGUGGCUUAAGCGAUCUGGGGCCAUCUUAAGAUUGAGCUGGAAUGCUAUUCCCGAAGGGGAGAGCGAAGGUAAAUAAAGGAGACAGUGCUCGGCAGAUAUGGGAAAAUAUUGACACCACUGACCUCCGUGCUUAACUGAUUAAAGGCGGUAACAUCUCGCAGCUGUCUACUCAACAACUUUUAAAAAAGGGAAACCACAUAGGACCCCUAAAAGUGUGUUUCUUACGCCAAUGAUGCUCACAUGAUACACACACAACUGACAUCCUGUGUUUUGGUAGGAUGGACGGAAUAAAAGGGCAGAAGAGAGAAGAAGAAGGAUUUUAAAUGUAAAAACAAUAAAGCCGCUGUGAAG